GGGGAUUAAAAAUAAAUAAAAAGCUGCAAAAACCUUUGAACUGCAGUUCAAUUAUUUAGAAUAAGCUAUUCCUGUAAUGCUAUUCCGCUGAUGACAGAUUAAAUAUUAUCGCCAUUUAUAUAGCGCCAACAGAUUCCGUAGCACUUUACAAUAUUAUGAGAGGGGGGGAUUUAAUUAUAAAUAGGACAAUUACAAGAAAACUUACAGGAACGAUAGGUUGAAGAGGACCCUCCUCAAACAAGCUUACAGUCUAUAGGAGGUGGGGUGUAAAACACAAUAGGACAGGAAAUAGCAAUCAAGGUGGGAGUGAAGCAGAGCUGGAGGAGAGAGUAGAGUGCUGCCCUUUAGGAGAGAGCAAUAGACAGGUAUGUGAGGUAGAGGUUACUCUGGGAAAUAUUGAUGUAUUGAUUAACCUCAUUAAUAAAAGAGUUUGCUGUGUGAUAGUAUUCUUUAUUAUUAUUAUUGCCAUUUAUAUAGCGCCAACAGAUUCCGUAGCGCUUUACAAUAUUUUGAGAGGGGGGAUGUAACAAUAAAUAGGACAAUUACAAGAAAACUUACAGGAACAAUAGGUUGAAGAAGACCCUGCUCAAACGAGCUUACAGACUAUAGGAGGUGGGGUAUUAGAAACAUUAGGACAAGAAAUAUCAAGUAGGAGUGAAGCAGAGCUGGAGGAGAGAGCAAAGCACUGUCCCAUAGGAGAGAGCAGGAGACAGGUAUGUAAGGUAG